rnacentral:ncRNA from 2 species
GGGUGCGGUGGCAACGCCGCAGGUCUCCGGAAAGGUCGGGCCGCCUUUC